rnacentral:rRNA from 1 species
UACGUAGGCGGCAAGCGUUGUCCGGAUUUACUGGGCGUAAAGAGCUCGCAGGCGGUUUGUUGCGUCGGCUGUGAAAUCCCGAGGCUCAACCUCGGGUCUGCAGUCGAUACGAGCAAACUAGAGUGUUGCAGGGGAGACUGGAAUUCCUGGCGUAGCGGUGAAAUGCGCAGAUAUCAGGAGGAACACCGGUGGCGAAGGCGGGUCUCUGGGCAGUAACUGACGCUGAGGAGCGAAAGCGUGGGGAGCGAACAGG